UGGGGCAUGAACCUGGCACACAAUGUAGAUUUCUGUGUUUGUUAAGCAACAGCUACAUUGUCUGCUGGGUUUCCAGCUGCCUGG
rnacentral:pre_miRNA from 1 species